GAUGAACGCUAGCGGCAGGCUUAAUACAUGCAAGUCGAGGGGCAGCAUUCACUUCGGUGAGAUGGCGACCGGCGAACGGGUGCGUAACGCGUAUGCAACCUGCCCUAUACCGGGGGAUAGCCCAGAGAAAUUUGGAUUAACACCCCAUAGCCCCGCGAGAAGGCAUCUUCUAGCGGGUAAAUGUAAAGGUAUAGGAUGGGCAUGCGUGCCAUUAGUUAGUUGGCGGGGUAACGGCCCACCAAGACUACGAUGGCUAGGGGUUCUGAGAGGAUGACCCCCCACACUGGCACUGAGAUACGGGCCAGACUCCUACGGGAGGCAGCAGUAGGGAAUAUUGGUCAAUGGGCGAGAGCCUGAACCAGCCAUGCCGCGUGCAGGAAGACGGCCUUCUGGGUUGUAAACUGCUUUUACCAGGGAACAAAAUGCCCGUGCGCGGGAGCUUGCGUGUACCUGGGGAAUAAGCACCGGCUAACUCCG
rnacentral:rRNA from 1 species